rnacentral:rRNA from 1 species
AGCUAAUAGAUAUCCCGGUAGUCCUGGCAGUAAACGGUGCGCGUUUGGUGUGGGAGGAUUCGACCCCUUCUGUGCCGGAGCUAAACGCGUUAAACGCGCCGCCUGGGGAGUACGGUCGCAAGAUUAAAACUCAAAGAAAUUGACGGGGGCCCGCACAAGCGGUGGAGUAUGUGGCUUAAUUCGAUGCAACGCGAAGAACCUUACCUAGCCUUGACAUGCAUCUCUAAGUCGGUGAAAGCCGGCGAGUGUAGCAAUACACAAUUUGCACAGGUGCUGCAUGGCUGUCGUCAGCUCGUGUCGUGAGAUGUUGGGUUUAAGUCCCGCAACGAGCGCAACCCCUGUGAACUGUUGCCACCGGGCCUUCGGGCCGGAGCACUCUGUUCAGACUGCCCUGUG